rnacentral:rRNA from 1 species
GACGAACGCUGGCGGCGUGCUUAACACAUGCAAGUCGAACGGAAAGGCCCUGCUUGCAGGGUACUCGAGUGGCGAACGGGUGAGUAACACGUGGGUGAUCUGCCCUGCACUUCGGGAUAAGCUUGGGAAACCGGGUCUAAUACCGGAUAGGACCGCACUUUAGUGUGUGUGGUGGAAAGUUUUUUCGGUGUAGGAUGAGCUCGCGGCCUAUCAGCUUGUUGGUGGGGUAAUGGCCUACCAAGGCGGCGACGGGUAGCCGGCCUGAGAGGGUGUACGGCCACAUUGGGACUGAGAUACGGCCCAGACUCCUACGGGAGGCAGCAGUGGGGAAUAUUGCACAAUGGGCGCAAGCCUGAUGCAGCGACGCCGCGUGGGGGAUGAAGGCCUUCGGGUUGUAAACUCCUUUCGCUAGGGACGAAGCGUUGUUGUGACGGUACCUAGAGAAGAAGCACCGGCUAACUACGUG